rnacentral:rRNA from 1 species
GCAGUCGAACGGCAGCAUGAUCUAGCUUGCUAGAUUGAUGGCGAGUGGCGAACGGGUGAGUAAUACAUCGGAACGUGCCCUGUAGUGGGGGAUAACUAGUCGAAAGAUUAGCUAAUACCGCAUACGACCUGAGGGUGAAAGUGGGGGACCGCAAGGCCUCAUGCUAUAGGAGCGGCCGAUGUCUGAUUAGCUAGUUGGUGGGGUAAAGGCCCACCAAGGCGACGAUCAGUAGCUGGUCUGAGAGGACGAUCAGCCACACUGGGACUGAGACACGGCCCAGACUCCUACGGGAGGCAGCAGUGGGGAAUUUUGGACAAUGGGCGAAAGCCUGAUCCAGCAAUGCCGCGUGUGUGAAGAAGGCCUUCGGGUUGUAAAGCACUUUUGUCCGGAAAGAAAUGGCUCUGGUUAAUACCUGGGGUCGAUGACGGUACCGGAAGAAUAAGGACCGGCUAACUACGUGCCAGCAGCCGCGGUAAUACGUAGGGUCCAAGCGUUAAUCGGAAUUACUGGGCGUAAAGCGUGCGCAGGCGGUUGUGCAAGACCGAUGUGAAAUCCCCGAGCUUAACUUGGGAAUUGCAUUGGUGACUGCACGGCUAGAGUGUGUCAGAGGGGGGUAGAAUUCCACGUGUAGCAGUGAAAUGCGUAGAGAUGUGGAGGAAUACCGAUGGCGAAGGCAGCCCCCUGGGAUAACACUGACGCUCAUGCACGAAAGCGUGGGGAGCAAACAGGAUUAGAUACCCUGGUAGUCCACGCCCUAAACGAUGUCAACUAGUUGUUGGGAUUCAUUUCUUAAUAACGUACCUAACGCGUGAAUUGACCGCCUGGGGAGUCGGUCGUA